UAAGGGGACAAGAACACUUCUCCAUCUUUUGGGGAAGUGUCACAUCCAUACGGGUCUGGCAUUAAAGUGCUUGGAUGCUAGUGCAGCCUCUGUUUUGAGACAAAUAGAAAAUCAGUACUUCAGGUAGAGCCUUGGAAGGCAUAAGAGGGAUGUCAAAUAUUGUCUGUGUGCCGGGAGUGAUUGUCAUUUCCUGAUACCCUCUGGAGAGACCUUUUCCCCUCAACUGCCACAACAGAACAGAUAAAUCAAACAGUACGUUACUAUUGCGGCGGUAGUAUUAAAUCAAAGCAGCAUUUCUUGUAUUCCCACCUGCCUCAGAUGUGUAUUUGGGAAAACUGUCUACAGCUGGGCCCCCACAUUAGUAGCAGCUGGAGAAGGUUUAGCUGGUGAAAAGUCAGAGUUUAAAAAAAAUCUGUAGUUUGGUGGAGUUGCUUGCUAGAUCAUAUGAAGAAAAUACAGUGAAAGGUUUAGGCCUCAUCUUAAGAAAGAUAAGUGCUAUUUUUGGAGUCUCAGAAUCUGAAAAUGGAGGAUGGGAACAGCUGGAUUUCUUUGCUUGCAGUGACAAGAGCCUCACCUCUGUGCAGGCGAAGCUGCUCUGCUGUGUGAGCUGUCCCCAUGUUUGGUGGGAGCUACUGAUCUGAAGAAACAGUGGACAGCAAGAGCCCAUCAGAGCGUCUUUAUUCUGAGAUUUACCUCAUUCAUGAGUGUCUAUCAAUCAAAAGGAAACCAGAACCUCCAAAAGAACAGUGUGGGGUUGUCUUUUUUUUCUUCCCUGAAACCAUUUUGCUCCUUGAGGUGAGGAAAAUUAACUCCAAAAAUAGCUCCUUAUAGAACAUUACUUAUGAGCUGGGUGCUUGUAACUACACUUUGUCCUUUGAGAUAAAGGUUGUGGCUAUUGCUUGGUGUUUUACAGAAUGAAUCAUGUUUUCUCCUUUGGGAUUCUUUAAAAAUGGAAGUCACUUCUGAGAUGCACUGUGGUGUCUGGGAGUCCUUUAAAAUCAUUAGGAGGAGAAAAUGAAAUGUAUUAUGAAGAUUUUUUUGAAGAAAAA